UACGGGGGGAGCAAGCGUUGUUCGGAAUCACUGGGCGUAAAGGGAGUCUAGGCGGUUUGGUAAGUGGGAUGUGAAAUGCCCCGGCUCACCCGGGGACCUGCAUCCCAAACUGCUGAGCUUGAGUACAGGAGAGGGUGGGGGAAUUCCAGGUGUAGCGGUGAAAUGCGUAGAUAUCUGGAGGAACACCGGUGGCGAAGGCGCCCACCUGGCCUGCUACUGACGCUGAAGCUCGAAAGCUAGGGGAGCAAACGGGAGUUAGAAUACCCCGAGUAGUCCCGAGACCAAUCGUCC
rnacentral:rRNA from 1 species